rnacentral:rRNA from 1 species
UACGUAGGUGGCGAGCGUUGUCCGGAUUUAUUGGGCGUAAAGAGCCCGCAGGCGGCUCGGCAAGUUUCAGAUGAAAUCUCCCGGCUUAACCGGGAGGGUGCCUGGAAAACUGCCGGGCUUGAGGCAGGGAGAGGGAUGCGGAAUUCCCGGUGUAGUGGUGAAAUGCGUAGAUAUCAGGAAGAACACCUAUGGCGAAGGCAGCUCUCUGGGACGGUACUGACGCUGAGACGCGAAAGCGUGGGGAGCGAACAGG